rnacentral:rRNA from 1 species
UACGAAGGGGGCUAGCGUUGCUCGGAAUCACUGGGCGUAAAGCGCACGUAGGCGGCUUUUUAAGUCAGAGGUGAAAUCCUGGAGCUCAACUCCAGAACUGCCUUUGAUACUGAGAAGCUUGAGUCCGGGAGAGGUGAGUGGAACUGCGAGUGUAGAGGUGAAAUUCGUAGAUAUUCGCAAGAACACCCGUGGCGAAGGCGGCUCUCUGGGACGGUACUGACGCUGAGACGCGAAAGCGUGGGGAGCGAACAGG